ensembl:lncRNA novel transcript, antisense to VWC2L
GUUUACCUAAGCAAGCCUGGGCAAUGGCGGGCGCCCCUCCCCCAGCCUGGCUGCCGCCUUGCAGUUUGAUCUCAGACUGCUGUGCCAGCAAUCAGCAAGACUCCAUGGGCGUCGUAGGACCCUCUGAGCCAGCAUAACAAGAGUUCCAGCAGAAGAAGACUGACAUUUAGUGGACCUAUGUACUGAUUGCUCUGACCUCCUCUCGUAAACAGGCAUUCUACUGGAACGUGUAAGAUAAUUUUUGCCAUCUGUCAUUUUCUUCUUCUUGAGAAAGGAGGAGAAUUACUGAGAAACAAGAAAAUGACUUUCUUGCAGUUGGGUUAUGGCCAUGUGAAUAAUUCUUGUCAAUGAGAAUGUGAGUGAAACUGAUAUGUAAUUGCUGGUCUGAGGCACUUAAGAAAUAAAGUAAGUUUUCUGUGCUUUCCUAACCUCAUGGCUGGAA